AGCGCGAGAAGUCGAAGGUAGGAGCAGAAAGCGGUGUUAGUGUUAGUUCUGGCCCGUUUGGACCCAAACUAAAGUAUAUCAGUAUGAAGCAGGCGGUGACGGCGCACUGAUUCACUCUCGGAGCUCGGUUCACUAAUGACCGAAUCACCGAGGAACCGACCAAAGAUAACUCACACCCGCACGGAGAAGAAGAACAAGAGGAGGAGAAGAUGAGCUGGAGUGGGGCAAAGAGAACUGCAUUCAGAUCAAACGGAUACAAGAGAAGUGGCCGAGUUGUUUGAGGAUCUAAAGAAUUGAGUGUCACAAUUCAACAUGCACAUCAGCGAAACUUUUCCCUCUGACUACACCAGCACCCACGCACAGAAAUUCAUAGUGCAGGUGGCGAUUGCAGGCGCAUUUUAUCCGAACUGCUUCCUCCAGGGAACUGUGGACGAGGAGCUCGCCUCCAAGGAACUCUAUGGAAACGACCCCAGGACCACCGUAGUGUGUGUAAUCUCCCUCCAUUUGCAUUCCUCUACUAUAAACAGCUCCAGUCUCUCUUCAGACACUGUGGUUAAAUCAAAUCCAUCUCCUUUGACAGCUCCAGGGCCUAUGUAGAGUUCUACCGCUCGUCAAUGAGAGGUUCUGGCAUUCUCCCAGAGGUCUCUCUGUCUCUCCUCCUCACGCAGCAGAGACUUCCUCUCCAUCUCAACGUUUAACCCACUGGAGAGGUGGAGACUUGGGCAGGGGGGUAGUGUAUCUCACACCUCAGAUAUACACGGAGGUCCAGGUGCAGCCUUUGGAUAUUGAUGAAGAUUUACUGCCCCUGCAAGACCUUCCUCAACUGCGUAGUCUGGAGCAAAGGAUGCAACAGAGCCCAGAUUACAAGCAAAAUCUGGUAAACUGGUUGGCGCUUAUUGACGGGGUGUAUGUGCGUGACUGCACCUGGCGCAUAUUGAAGAGGGUGAUUGCUAACUCCCUGGCAAAGAAUCUCAAUUGGAGGGGAGUCAAUGGAAAGACUUCACUGUCCGCUCUCCAACUCGGAGAGGUCGUGAUUGGAGACGCACCUACGUCUUAAAGUAUUAAAGAUCAUCAAAGGUUACUCUGCCCUUGGCUGCAGUUCAUAGAAACCUCUUCACGGCUAAAGCUGCAGAGAUGGAGGUCGAGGGGUCCAUGAAGAGGCGGCUCCAGCUGGCAUCAGAGCGAGAGUGUGGGCGCAAGAGCAGACUUUUGAUAAAGGAGGGUAUUUACAGUGUUUUAACUGGUGUGUUUUUUGCGCUAUUAUUAAUUUGUUAAAAUGUUCAUAUUAUAGUCUAUUUUUAAUUGUUUAUAAAAGUCCUUGCUGUUUUUAAGUGGCUGAAUUAGUGUGUGUGCGCGCGCGUGUGUGCGUGUUGGUAGCUGGGUGGGUAUAUAGUUCUGGUCUGAAGUUGACAUACCCCUUGCAGGAGAAAGAGACCCUGUGUAAUCUGUUUAAACGACUUUUACGCAUGUUUUGCAGAGAGAUCAUUUUCACCUUGCUGUUUGGGUCUCUGUCCCACACUGUUACAGUGCAGUAUUGAGAGCGCGCGAGGGAGAUCGAUUUUCUAUCAGAAACAGUAACUAUAUAAAAUGGACGUCAACACGCAGCACUCUGUGAGGUCAUUUCUCGCUCUCAACAGAGUAGUUGUGAUUGUUUAGUGUUUACGACGGGGCCAAAACAUUCAAGGCCAUGGUGUAUUUUGACUGUUCCUGUAGCAUAAUCUCACCAAACUGUGUGUACACGAGUCCACAGACACUGAGUCUAUUCACAGUUCCAUGCUGUGUAGAUGUUCUGCUCAUCCUCACUGUACCGUAAAGAUCAGAACCUCACAUCUGUAACCUUGUAGCUUUCCUUAAUCAACACGACUGCAACCAAGCUUGUGUAGCACUACUAUUUUUAGAUCUCCGCCUCUCAAAAGUAUUGGCGCCCUGCGCGGCCGCCUCUCAAAUCUUUUGGCGGCCAGCUCUCAAAUCUGUUGGCGCCCUAUGCGUCCGGCUGUCAAAUCUAUUGGCGCCCUAUGCGUCCGGCUCUCAAAACUAUUGGCGCCCUUCACGGGCAGUUCUCAAAAGUAUUGGCACCCGAUCUGAAUUUUGCCACGGCAAGCACCACUCACAUUUUCUUCAGGAAAUGUACCUUAAAAUAAUAAAAAGUCUCUCACUAGGCUGUGUGUCGAGAUAAACGUCAAAACAUCUUGAGCUUGUGUUCACCACAGACCUUAUUUCCGGCAUUUAACCCAAAACCCCAUUGACGGAAGUGCUAAUACGCUGAAUCGUUUCUGGGUUUCACGACUCAUUCCUGCAGCACUCUGUAAGACGGGCUGUUGUUAUCAAACCAUCGAAGUAAGAUAAGCGGCUUUGGUAAUGAUUCUUUAAAUGAACCGAUUCAGAAUCCUCUUCUUGAAUCGUUUGAGUCGUUCUCACUCGGUCAGGGUUGCACGUGUGGGUUGCUUUUCCUGCACGUGUAAUCAGCACGUGUUCACAGACCGUAAAUCCCGACCACAUGGUAGACACUCGACAGAAAUUUCAUACUAAAGUAAGUAUUUUAUAUUUUCUGGGUCUAAACAGAGCAGAAGUAUUGCUAACGUGUUGUACAGAUUCUAUUGGACUGGUGAACUGUGUGGAUUUGUAUAUUUAACCCAGUUUAAUAUGGCCUGCUUUGUUCAGUCAGAGACAAGUAAAUCUGUUCUAAUGUUCAUUUAUUUUCCAUAGAUAAAACACGUUUGUUUACACAUGAAUACGUACUUUAUGCUUUCAGAAUGGUGGAGAUUUGGCCCUUAACUAUGGUUAAGUGGGGGGUACUAUAAAAUGCACAGUUCUGAGACACUAUAUACCUAUACUGUGAAAUCAGUACAUGUGUGUGUUUAGAAUGAUUAUAGCUUUUGGGGAAAAAACUAUUCUUGAAUCUAUUAGUCCUUGUUCUGAUGCACCUGUAACGUCUCCCUGAGGGCAACAGAUCAGAGCCAGGGUGAGAGCUGUCCUCAAUGAUGGUUUUUCCUCUGCUGAGGCAACGGGGGGUGUAAAUAUCCAUCAGGGAGGUGUUGUGGAUAAAAAAUGUCAUAAAAUAAACAUAAGGGAGACCUAGCAUCCAGCAAAGGGGAGAAGAAGAAAAGAUGGGCACCUAGACACAUAGAAGCGGGAUUAGGCGGACAUUGACAAAUUGGAAUUACACUUUAAAGAUCUUUAAGAGCAGUAGUAGUCAAAAAAGUCAAAAAGAGGUAUACGAGCUGAGCUGAGGAGUGCUAAUACACACACACACACACACACACACACACGCUCGUACAGUCAAGGGCGGGCAAGUAGACACAACAUACACACACAUGAAUAACUUUAAUAAUCUUAUAGUAAUAGAGAAACUCUCUAUAAAAAAACAGAAUAGUAGGAUAUGCAGGACAGUAUGGAGGAUAUGCAGGAGCUUAAGCUCAUCACUUCUGAGAAUUCUCAUCGGUGUGGAUCUCGUGUGGUGGAACGGAACAAUAAAUCUGGACCCUUGCUUCUUCUCACUCACGGCUGGUGUCUUUUUUUUCUAUCUCCAACUGGGCUCAGAGGUAGAUGUGAGUGUUGGCUUCUAUGUUGAAUUUUAAGUGUUUUUGGGUAAUAGGCUAUAUUUGAGCCAACAGAGGGGAGAGGUAAUAAAUAAACUUAUAAAUGUGAUUACUUGAUGACUGUAGACAGAACUCUAUAAAUGUGAAAUGUUUUGUUGAAGUUCAGAUGAAUCUCUGAUGUACAGAAUCUUCAACCGAGUUCUGCAGAAAGAUUUUGAAUGCCUGUCAUUCACCAGAACAAAUUUGCAGUUGAACAGUCUGUCUAAAAGAAAAAAUCUAAACACACAAUAUAAAAUUCCUGCAGUGUGAAUAAAGCCUUUGUGUUGCUUUUAGCAAACAUGUCUAGUACUCUCGGUUCAAUGUACACAAUUUACCCCAUUUAAAUGCAUUUUGGAAAUUGUUCCACAUGGCCUUAAAGUGUGAAUAUUCACUGUAUGCCAAAUAAGUAAUCAAAGAAUGGAACUGGAUUUUUUCUUCUCUAACGGACCAUUAAUCACAAUUAUAAAAGAUGAUGCAUCAGGUACAAAGUAUCAGGGUUUUUCCCCCCUCUUUUUCCCACAAUAGUUGCAUGAUUUUUGCUACACCCUUUCCACCGUGUGUGUGUGUGUGCGCGCGCGCGCUAAAAAUCACUUUGAGGUAAAAAUAUUUUAAGGCAGCCACUUUCACCUUCCUACAACAAUUGGUGACUGGUCUGAGGUGAAGUUUCUUGUCAUGUUACUGUGGUCAUGGAUCACAUUGUGGGGAUCUCUGUAAUGUAACCAUUUCUGUAAUUAUCCUUACCUGCUUUUGUGCUUCUGUGUCUUCUGUUGGUGCUUUAUUCUGCUUUUUAGGGCCCGAGCACCGCUGCUGCAAAGCCCUAUUGGAUCUGCUGUUUAUUAUUGGGGCAGAGCACCGAAGGUGCAGCGCUUCCGGUGACCACCGGAGGGCGCAUGCACCGGAGGUGCAGGGCCCUAUUGAUUUUCUGGUGUUUAUUGUUUAUUUCAUGCAUUCUUGUCGUUUUUAAGGGCCUAAACAUGGCUGAAAACUCCCAAAACUCGGUAGACGCGCCAGCACCAGUGAAAAUGCAACUUACAUUGGGCAUGGGCAUGGUCGAGGAGCUCCUUAGCACCCCUGAAGGCAGGCAAUGGCGUUAUUGUGCAGAUCCACAUUUAAGCAUCUUACUAUACACUGAGUUCAAAGAGCUUUUUCUCAUCCCCAUCCUGGAUCGCCCCUACAGCUGCCUGUUUGGUACAUUCCUCUACAGCAGUGAGCAGGAGAGAAUGGAAAAGGAAGUACAGGGUAAAACAGUCACUGUGGUCCUACGUUAACAGUCAGCCGGAGGACUUCACUAACCCGUUCUAUGUGGACUGUAAAAACCAGGUGCUGUAUCCACUGGCCAGUCUCACACAUCUGGAGCUCUGGGUGGGUUAUUAUGUGCGUUGGAACCCACGCAUGAGACCACAGAUGCCGCUCCAUCAGAAUCUGAGAGAGUUAUUGUUUUUGCGUGAAGAACGUGGAGGAGCUCCAGAGAGAGGCCACGUCAUCCUGCUCCAUCUCCUCAUCCUCAGAGCAUACUUCUCCCUCCUCACAUAGUGAUGACCAUCCUGACCUCUGAGGCUUCAUCACUCAUCACCAUGGUAACUGUCUUGUCCACCCCCAGUAAAAGGCUGCAUACUCAUACUGUGCUGUGAAAAAGCGUUUGCUUCCAUCUGCUUUUUAGCAAGUGCACACUUCCAUCCAUCCAUCCUACACAGGGUUGUGGGGAGCCUGGAGUCUAUCCCAGGGAACUCGGGGCACAAGGCAGGGGACACCCUGGACAUGGUGCCAACCCAUCACAGGGCACAAUCACUCGUGCACACACACACUGGACAAUUUUGGAGAUGCCAAUCCACCUACAACGGAUGUCUUUGGACUGGGGGAGGAAACCCCUGAAGCACAUUUGCAGGGACAUCGAGGAAAUUUAGUGAAACCCAGUCAGUGAUCUUAUUGGAUAAUUAGUCUCUAAUGAUUUGACCUUGUUUGUUACGCUGCUAAAUAUUUUCCAAAGGUAUGGAAGUGAUGUUAAGUCAGCAGACGUAUUGUGUGGGUUUGUGUUCUCUCUCCCUCCCCCUGUUUUUUUCUCACAGGUCGCUCUGACCUAAUUCGUUGUGCUGACGUGCUGCACGGGGAUUGGAGAGGAGAAGAUUGUCCCUCUUUUAAAAAGGAGGACGAACAAUAUGUUGGGAGGAAUGCGGAUGUGUGGGGUGUCUGUGUCUGCGUGUGUACGACUGAGUAGCGAAUGUUUUUCCUGGUGUUUGAGUGAAAUCGCUUGCUUGUUGUGUGUGUACGAGUGAAAGAAGUGAGUGGAAGUAUAUUGUGUUGUCCCAUUCCCCUGGUUUGUCUUGUGUUGUGGCUGAGUGUACGCCUGAAUUGUAAAUACAUCUUUCAUUGUAAAUAUUUCUCUUCUUACUGUCAUGAAAGCUGUAGGGGUUGUGUGGCGUUUAUUUUUGGGCUCUACCUUUUGUUCGCUGUUUUUGCCUCAGUGAGGGAGUCAGGUUAGACUCUGUUUUCUUUUGACAUACCUUUUUUGUUAGGUUAGUUAAACUGAUACAGGGAAGAUAUCGAUUGUUUUGUUUAUUACAUUGGCCUUGCCAGCCCUGAAGAGUGGUGCUUUCCGAGUGAUUCUGUUUGUUUUGCAUUAUUUUUCUUGUGAUCAUUAAAUUUGUAAGAUUUGAAAGACGUGAGGUAAUGAGAUAAUGAGGUGUCAACCUCAUUAUUUCUGAGUCUGAUUUGUUUUUGUUUAUACUUUUUUUAUGUUACACCUCGACCCUAGACUGGGGUCGUAACAGUGAGUCAAAAAUAACUUCCGUUUCCUUUUAUGGACUUUUGUGGGCAUUGCUACAUGGAAAUGAGCUGUGUCAGGAACACGGUUUGCACUUUAGAGGUGAACAACACGCGUACACAAGUACGAAGAACAUCGGCGUUUCCGAAACUUUUAUAAAUCCGGCAGAAACGUUUAGUUUGGUUUGACUUGGGCAAACAUUUACACACAACUUUACUAAAAGAAACUUGCUCAGAGAUGUUCAAUCGGGUUCAAGUCUGGGCUCUGGCUGGGCCACUCAAGGACAUUCACAGAGUUGUCCUGUAGAUAGAUAGAUAGACAGAUAAUUUUAUUGGUCCUCAAAAAGAGGAAAUUUGUUUCCACAGUGGGUGCGUACAAAAACAUAACGUCAUACGUAUAGACCAACAUAAACAAUCACAGCCAUAGAGAGGAAAAGGGGACGAGGAGAAAAACAUCAGGAUCAUCAUACAACAAUGCAUCUGACAUCACAAUGGCUGUGUACCUAUGUGUUUAAUGCUCGUAUAGCCAUAUUAACAAAACUCCUACCAUAGCCAGCCUUUCUGCACACGGGUAGUCUAUACCUGCGGCCAGAUGGAAGGAGAUUGAAAUAUUGAUAAAGUGGGUGGUUUGGGUCAUUCAAAAUUUUAUGUGCCUUCUGGAGCGUAAAUGAAUUGACACAGUCCGAUAAAUUAGGGAUGGGAAUACCAAUAAUUUUCUUUGCUAAAUUAGUUAUUUUCAAAAGGUUGUUCUUAUUAGUUACUGUUAGCAUAUGGAAAAAAACAAAUGGCACCAUAUAUAAGAACCGGUUCAAUAAUACUUCGGUACAGAAGAAGAAGCAGACUAGGCUGAACAGACAGAUAUUUAAGUUUAUGGAUAACUGUGAGUCUCUGACAACAUUUGUAAAUACCUAGAAUGUGCUGAUUGAAGCUGAGAUGUUUAUCCAAUGUAAUGCCCAGAUAUCUGAAAUGCUCCACACUUUCAACCAUCUCUCGGUUAACGGUAAAACCGGAAAUAUGGGUAAGUGUUUUGGAAGAGCUAAAAUAACACAGCAGAUCUUAAUUUUUAGUAUUUGAGCUUUUAUCCAUUUAUGUCCGUUGUGUUUAAACCUGUAUAAACCUUGUUUAAAGAUCUACCACGAUUUCUCCAUGAUGUUUGGUGACAAAGUGUCUCAGAAGUUCCUGGCAAUGUGGUCAAUAUUCUUCAAGCCAAAAAUCAUUGCAGACUGCAAGACUCUUAAGAAUAUGGGCGAGCUGCUGUCAGGAACUGAACCUGAAUCUGAGGACUACAAUGGAUGGGACAGCGAUAUGUCCUCAAUCCUUUUGCAGCUGCAUCUGCUCCCUCUAACCUCAAGAGGCCAGAAAAAAAUAUCCAAGAUCAGUUCAGCUCAAGCAAUCAGCCAUCUUGUGAGCUGUCUUAAGGAAGGAGCCAGUGUGAAUACCUUCAUUGAGAGUGCUGACACAAGACAACCAUUUCUCCUCUGCAUCGGUGAGCGAAAGAAGGAUAUCCCAAAGUUCUACGUUAUUAUCGACCAAAAGGCGAUCCCAUGUAAGGCGCACACAUCAGUGGCAGCUUUUGAUGAACUGUUCAAAGCUCACUGUGUCUUCAGUUUCUCAUAUGAUGAAGCUCUUUGUGAUUUCUACACAUUUAUCCAAACCACUAUCUAUAACAUCGAUGUCGGAAGAGCAAUGGAGAGCCUGCGUGUUAAAGAACUUCGAGCAUGAUUGCUGCAGCGAGAUUAACUGCCUUGAAGAUGUUCACAUGUUUUGAAUGUAAAGCAUACCUCAGAACUUGUUUGGCUCUUCGUCAACAUUUAAAAUUUCAACAUGUUUAUAUCCUAGCAAAAAGUUACAUUUAAAAUGUGGAGAGCCAGGUCACCUGUUAUCAUUUUGUACAUAUAGUGGCUUCUGAAAACACCUCAGCAAGGUACAUAGUCACACUAUGGAUCAGGAGAUUGAUACUAAUCAGGAUCUUUCCACUCAGGGAGAAUAUGAGGCAGAAUGUUCAAAUGAUCGCCCAAGUUUACAAAGUUGGAGUUUACAAAGACAUUAAUGAUGGGUCGUGUUUCCAAAACCAUGCACUGUUCUCACAGCAAAAGCACACUUUUCAGAUUCUACUCUAUCACAACGAUUUUGAAACUGCUAACCCUCUAGGUUCCAAGAGGGGGAUCCACAAACUUGGUUGAAUCUAUUUUACUCUAAAAAAUCUUCCACCCAAGUGUAACUCUGUACUGAUUAAUGUACAUCUUGCAGCUUGAUUCUACAUGGAAGAUCUUAAGACAUAUGGUUUUGAUGUGAUACUAAAGCCCCUUAUUGAUGACCUGAAAAUCUUAGAAACCGAAGGCAUACAGCUUCCUUGUUUUGAACCACCAUUGUUUGGCUCAGUAAUUCAAGUAACAGGAGAUAAUUUGGCUUUAAAUGGCUUGCUGGGAAUCUUACAGUGCAACUAAUUUCUGUAGGCUUUGUUUAAUUAGUAAGGAAGAAGUUCAAUCUAUAUUUUCUGAAGAUCAUUCUGGGUUAAUUUUUCGUUCCAAAGAGGUUCAUACUGAACAUUGUAAGGCACUAAAUGAAAAUCCUGAACUGCGGUCAAUAUAUGGUGUCAAAAAGUCAUGUGCGCUCAAUUCAUUAGAGUAUUUCCAUUGUACUGAUAACUAUGCUGUUGACAUCAUGCAUGAUCUGCUAGAGGGUGUGGUACAGUAUGAACUUAAACUGGUUUUUGAGUACCAUGUUAAACAGGAUGCAGAGCUUUAAUUAUGGUUACACAGACCGUAAAAACAAACCAAGUGGGUUAAAAAUGGAUGAUAAGGGCAAACACCUGGGUUUGAAUGCCAUACAGUCAUGGUGUCUUCUGCACAACACUCCACUGAUAUUUGGUGGUCAUUGAAAGGAAUAACAAUCACUGGAACUUUCUCCUACUUUUGAUACAGAUUGUCAAUAUAGUGUUUUCCUACACCAUAACUGAUGGAAUGAUAUGUUACUUAAAACAUCUGAUCUGUGAUCACCAUACUCUAUUCAAAGAAUUGUUUCCUGACAAGACGUCGAUUCCCAAGCACCACUUGAUGAUGCACUAUCUGAGAUGCAUAAAAAAAAAUUGGCCCUCUUAUCCAUAUGUGGUGAAUGCGAUUUGAAGCUAAGCACCAUAUUUUCAAAAGAUGUGACAAAAAUUUCAAGAAUCUCAUUAAAUCAUUAGUAAAGCAACAUCAAAGUCAAUUGGCAUUUAACUAUGAAAAUGAUUGUUUUAGAAGGUUUGAAUUUGGUCCUACAUCAAAAACCGUCUGUAACUUGCAAGGUGGGGAAGAACUCAGUCAGACAUUAUAUUUAGAAGCCUGUUUGAGUGUUACAAGUACAAAGUGGGUCAGACAUUAUGGUACUGAGUAUCAGGUUGGUGUGUUCAUAUGCACUGGAUGUACCUAUGAUCUCCCUGUGUUCAAAAAGAUCUGUGAUAUAAUAAUAUAUGAAGAGAGUGCUUUCAUUAUUUCCUGCAAUGUAAAAACGAUGUACUAUGAUGACCACUUCAAUGCAUACUGUAUAGAAGAUAACCGAAUGGAUGAGUUUUCUGUCAUCUCUGUGAAUGAACUGACACACUUUAGGCCAUUUGACCAGCAGUGCUCUAAUGAGAAUAAACAAACAGAGUACAUAGUGCCCAAUUGUUAUAUUUAGAAAGCC